GACUCGGGUUUCUUCAGAGCCGCAGGGAACAGGAGGUGUUCAGGGUCUGGACAGAACAACACAGAAGCACAUGUCAACUUGAGAAGCAACUACAAGCAAUGGAACACAGCAGUAAUCCCAGCUCAGAUGUUACUCUUAGGGACCUGCUGAAACAGAAAUAUGGGUCUCUCCCGAAACUUCAGAUCACACCUGAUGACUCCACAGCACAGCACAAACAUAUGCCAGUCUCACUAAGAGGGAAUGAAGGAGUGAACACUUUCCAACAGCGGGGCAAACAGAGCUGGGGACAAGACGAAACUGAGCUCAUGUUUCCUGAGGUAAGUGUCAAACCACAGUGUCUCUGAACUCAGUAAGCAAC
rnacentral:lncRNA from 1 species